GCCGGGUGUGGUGGUGCGCACCUGUAAUCCCAGCUACUCGGGAGGCUGAGGCGGGAGAAUCGCUUGAACCCAGGAGGCGGAGGUUGCAGUGAGCCGAGAUCAUGCUACUGCACUCCAGCCUGGGUGACAGAGAGAGACUCCGUCUCAA
rnacentral:SRP_RNA from 1 species